CUGCACGUGUACCUUAUCUUAAUGAUUAAUAAGUUUUUAAAAGUUAUAUUCUAUUCUAUACUUUAUAAGAGCAAAAUUUUCGAUAUGUCUGCUUAUUGUCUUUUUAAAAAAGUUUGAGGAUAAUUCAGUCAUUUAGCAUAUCUUUAUAGGUGGUGUUUUUUCGCUUCACAAAUACUAAGUGUAUCUUUUUUGAUCAUUUUUUCCAUGGAUUCCAGAGCAUUGUUCUCACUCUUUCCCUAUUGUAGCCUCUGGAAUCACAUGAGUUUCCUUCGUUUGUCACUCGCUUUUCCGUCGUUUGUCACUUUGAAAGCUUAACCCAAAGUACGAACAGACUGUUGCAAUUCAGUCUUAUUUUCCCUUUCCGUCGUCUCUCUGUGUGCUCUGUUGCUUCUUGGCCACAAGCCCACCUUCAUCCUUCGAAAUCUCUUUGUUUGUGUAAGAGUUAGGCUUCAAGGCAAAGCUUCUGUUCGCUGCCAGUCACGCAAGAAAGGAGGAGAAAAAUUGUACGUGAUUUUUGAGACAAAUUUACUCGCUACCAACUCAUGUUACAAAGGAAUCGUCGUAAUCUUUGCUUGGGAUUAAAUUAAGGUAACUUAAUUAAAGAACCAGGUUAAUCUUUAGUUCUUUUUGUGGAUAAUUUUGUUUCUCUAACUGUAAUAUAAGAAUUUUGUCUAUGCGAUUAUCCUUCAUUUUGUGUGUUAUAAAGUCCAAUUUAGUGCGACGUUUGUGUUUUAUUUACACUUUAGUUGGAUCUGUUUUAAGAAGUUCAAUGCAGAGAAAAUAUCAUCAUCCCAGGCGAUAUAAAUAUGACCUCUGUAUAACAAUGGGGAGAAGGUUGAAUCAAAUAGAACAUUGGUACUAAACGAAGAUGAUAUCGCACGUUUUGAUUUCGUGGUUGGGGGAGCUUGUGCCAGUUAAAAUAGUAAUAGUUCUUGAAUGGAAGAAAUCUCACAUCGGUGAAAUAUCAAUUUUGGUUGGUACUUCACCCUAUAAAACGAGGCCUAAUGUUUAGGAUUUAAACACACCUCUCAUUUGCCUUCUUAUCUUCUUAAGGCAUUUGUAUCUUCUCUCUUUAGUAUUAUUUCACUUGUAUUUUUGGAGUGAAAUAAAAUAUUGAUUGUGUCCGAGGAGUAGGCAAAAUUAGCUGAACCUCGUAAAUUCUGGUGUUCCUUUUAUUGUUGUUUUAUUGUCUUAUUUAUUAUUUGGUGGCUGUCAUAAUUUUUGGUAUAGUAGUUGUGACUUAUUCACACUAUAAGAGAUAAAGAAAAUUCUUGGCAUGGAGAUAAUAAGAGAUAGACGUAAACUCUGUUUAUUGCAGAAAGAAUACUUGAAAAGAGUACUACAACGUUUUGGCUAGUACUCCACUUGCUCCCCAUUUUAAGCUAAGUAAUACUAUGUCGCCA
rnacentral:lncRNA from 1 species